rnacentral:rRNA from 1 species
UUAGUGGCGGACGGGUGAGUAACGCGUGGGUAACCUGCCUUGUACUGGGGGACAACAGUUGGAAACGACUGCUAAUACCGCAUAAGCGCACAGCUUCGCAUGAAGCAGUGUGAAAAACUCCGGUGGUACAAGAUGGACCCGCGUCUGAUUAGCUGGUUGGUGAGGUAACGGCCCACCAAGGCAACGAUCAGUAGCCGGCCUGAGAGGGUGAACGGCCACAUUGGGACUGAGACACGGUCCAAACUCCUACGGGAGGCAGCAUG